AGCUACAGGCUUAACACAUGCAAGUCGAGGGGCAUCAGGAAGAAAGCUUGCUUUCUUUGCUGGCGACCGGCGCACGGGUGAGUAACACGUAUCCAACCUGCCCUUUACUCGGGGAUAGCCUUUCGAAAGAAAGAUUAAUACCCGAUAGCAUAAUGAUUCCGCAUGGUUUCAUUAUUAAAGGAUUCCGGUAAAGGAUGGGGAUGCGUUCCAUUAGGUUGUUGGUGAGGUAACGGCCCACCAAGCCUUCGAUGGAUAGGGGUUCUGAGAGGAAGGUCCCCCACAUUGGAACUGAGACACGGUCCAAACUCCUACGGGAGGCAGCAGUGAGGAAUAUUGGUCAAUGGGCGCUAGCCUGAACCAGCCAAGUAGCGUGAAGGAUGAAGGCUCUAUGGGUCGUAAACUUCUUUUAUAUAAGAAUAAAGUGCAGUAUGUAUACUGUUUUGUAUGUAUUAUAUGAAUAAGGAUCGGCUAACUCCGUGCCAGCAGCCGCGGUAAUACGGAGGAUCCGAGCGUUAUCCGGAUUUAUUGGGUUUAAAGGGAGCGUAGGUGGACUGGUAAGUCAGUUGUGAAAGUUUGCGGCUCAACCGUAAAAUUGCAGUUGAUACUGUCAGUCUUGAGUACAGUAGAGGUGGGCGGAAUUCGUGGUGUAGCGGUGAAAUGCUUAGAUAUCACGAAGAACUCCGAUUGCGAAGGCAGCUCACUGGACUGCAACUGACACUGAUGCUCGAAAGUGUGGGUAUCAAACAGGAUUAGAUACCCUGGUAGUCCACACAGUAAACGAUGAAUACUCGCUGUUUGCGAUAUACAGUAAGCGGCCAAGCGAAAGCAUUAAGUGUUCCACCUGGGGAGUACGCCGGCAACGGUGAAACUCAAAGGAAUUGACGGGGGCCCGCACAAGCGGAGGAACAUGUGGUUUAAUUCGAUGAUACGCGAGGAACCUUACCCGGGCUUAAAUUGCAGUGGAAUGAUGUGGAAACAUGUCAGUGAGCAAUCACCGCUGUGAAGGUGCUGCAUGGUUGUCGUCAGCUCGUGCCGUGAGGUGUCGGCUUAAGUGCCAUAACGAGCGCAACCCUUAUCUUUAGUUACUAACAGGUUAUGCUGAGGACUCUAGAGAGACUGCCGUCGUAAGAUGUGAGGAAGGUGGGGAUGACGUCAAAUCAGCACGGCCCUUACGUCCGGGGCUACACACGUGUUACAAUGGGGGGUACAGAAGGCAGCUAGCGGGUGACCGUAUGCUAAUCCCAAAAUCCUCUCUCAGUUCGGAUCGAAGUCUGCAACCCGACUUCGUGAAGCUGGAUUCGCUAGUAAUCGCGCAUCAGCCACGGCGCGGUGAAUACGUUCCCGGGCCUUGUACACACCGCCCGUCAAGCCAUGGGAGCCGGGGGUACCUGAAGUACGUAACCGCAAGGAUCGUCCUAGGGUAAAACUGGUGACUGGGGCU
rnacentral:rRNA from 1 species